rnacentral:rRNA from 1 species
UCAGGUGACUAUAGCAUCAGGGUUCCACCUCUUCCCCAUUCCGAACAGAGAAGUUAAGCCUGAUCACGCCGAUGGUACUGCGUCAAGUGGGAGAGUAGGUAGUUGCCGUUU